rnacentral:rRNA from 1 species
AUUAACCUACGGGACGCAGCAGUGAGGAAUAUUGGUCAAUGGACGAAAGUCUGAACCAGCCAUACCGCGUGCAGGAAGACGGCUCUAUGAGUUGUAAACUGCUUUUGUACAAGGGUAGACCUGAAUACGUGUAUUCAGCUGAAAGUACUGUACGAAUAAGGAUCGGCUAACUCCGUGCCAGCAGCCGCGGUAAUACGGAGGAUCCAAGUGUUAUCCGGAUUUAUUGGGUUUAAAGGGUGCGUAGGCGGAUUGAUAAGUUAGAGGUGAAAUGUCCGGGCUCAACUCGGGAACUGCCUCUAAUACUG